rnacentral:tRNA from 1 species
GCCGAGGUAGCUCAGCCUGGGAGAGCACCCGGCUGAAGACCGGGCUGUCGCUGGUUCAAAUCCGGCCCUCGGCACCA